UAAACCUGCCGAAAGGCGGGCUAAUACUAGAUAGUUCAAGUGCAUUAUAACGAUGCGAUUGGGAAAGGGAGCUCGCAAGAGCCUUUGCUUUAAGAUGAGCCCGCGUCUGAUUAGCUAGUUGGUGAGGUAAUGGCUCACCAAGGCUGAGAUCAGUAGCUGGUCUGAGAGGAUGAUCAGCCACACUGGAACUGAAACACGGUCCAG
rnacentral:rRNA from 1 species